CCUGUAAAUUUUGGCUUGGUGAUGGAGUGAGCAGGCAUUGCACACGAGCAGCUGUGCAUGUGGAGAGUCCUCCCCAAUCAAACUGGUGGUCUGCAAGGACUUCACCAUGUAAGUGGUGAUGGCCUGGCAGUUGAAAAGCUGGGGAUCGGCUCAGGCUGGCAACAGAGCAAGCAAAACUGGCUGCCACCUGCAGUGAUGGGAUACUGGACUUGAAUGCU
rnacentral:SRP_RNA from 1 species